rnacentral:rRNA from 1 species
UACGAAGGGGGCUAGCGUUGUUCGGAAUUACUGGGCGUAAAGCGCACGUAGGCGGACAUUUAAGUCAGGGGUGAAAUCCCAGAGCUCAACUCUGGAACUGCCUUUGAUACUGGAUGUCUGGAGUAUGGAAGAGGUGGGUGGAAUUCCGAGUGUAGAGGUGAAAUUCGUAGAUAUUCGGAGGAACACCAGUGGCGAAGGCGGCUCACUGGUCCAUUACUGACGCUGAGGUGCGAAAGCGUGGGGAGCAAACAGG